rnacentral:rRNA from 1 species
UACGUAGGGUGCGAGCGUUAAUCGGAAUACUGGGCGUAAGCGUGACGCAGGCGGUGAUGUAAGACAGAUGUGAAAUCCCCGGGCUCAACCUGGGAACUGCAUUUGUGACUGCAUCGCUGGAGUGCGGCAGAGGGGGAUGGAAUUCCGCGUGUAGCAGUGAAAUGCGUAGAUAUGCGGAGGAACACCGAUGGCGAAGGCAAUCCCCUGG